CAUUGCUGAACCUGACCUGAAAAGGGCUGCAGUGAUCCUGGUCUCACGUGUUUGGAAGCUAACUGAGGUGGCACCCCUCUGCCACCCUGCACGUGGUUGUUGUGGAAGUGGUGAUUUUUAUUGUGGGCCAUGUUCUAGGUGGGCCUUGUGCUGCUGACACUCAUGUGUCCAGCUUGAAUCCAAGGCCAAGGAAUGAGUGGAAUUCUGCACUGGAGCUCCCACUAAAAUGCCCCCAGACUCAGUUGGUGGGCUUCCCUCAAGCACCUGGGUACUUCUGGUGCUGCAGGACUCUGGGAUUUCUGCAAGUUGUGACACAAACCCUGCCUGGCUCAGGGCUUGCCAUCCCACAUAUGUCUCUGUCUCUAGGGAAAUUUCCUUUACUGCAAAUGAAACAAGGAAAAAGUUAGUCUUUCCUAAGGGAGUUGCACCCCGUUCACACCAGCACAGCCCUCAGGAGCCCAGCAAGAGUCAGCAAGACCUUUCCAGUCUCUGUUCUUAAGGACCAUGGACAGGACCUUGCUUUAUAGCUAGGAGG